AACGAACGCUGGCGGCAGGCCUAACACAUGCAAGUCGAGCGCCCUUUCGGGGGAGCGGCGGACGGGUGAGUAACGCGUGGGAAUAUGCCCUUCUCUACGGAAUAGCCUCGGGAAACUGAGAGUAAUACCGUAUACGCCCUGUGGGGGAAAGAUUUAUCGGGGAAGGAUUAGCCCGCGUUGGAUUAGGUAUUUGGUGGGUUAAUGGCCUACCAAGCCGACGAUCCAUAGCUGGUUUGAGAGGAUGAUCAGCCACACUGGGACUGAGACACGGCCCAGACUCCUACGGGAGGCAGCAGUGGGGAAUCUUAGACAAUGGGGGCAACCCUGAUCUAGCCAUGCCGCGUGAGUGAUGAAGGCCUUAGGGUUGUAAAGCUCUUUCAGCUGGGAAGAUAAUGACGGUACCAGCAGAAGAAGCCCCGGCUAACUCCGUG
rnacentral:rRNA from 1 species